rnacentral:tRNA from 1 species
AACUUAUAAUUCUGAUAGAGAAUUUUUCAUUUACACUGAAAGCGUCCUUGUGCAAUUCAGGGUUUGUUGAA